AGCGCCUUUAAAUCAGUCCCGUGAGGCUGGCAAGGUAACGUGAAUCGAGGUUCGCGGCUUUUUAAGUGAGGUAUCCGUCUGUCUGUACGGAGCUCUUUUGCUGCGCGCUUGUCACCGUUCUUCAAUCUGCGGAUUCCACUCCUUGCCUGCUUCAGGCAAGGAGUUUUUGAUU
rfam:Paenibacillus sabinae T27, complete genome.